AUUGAACGCUGGCGGCGUGCUUUACACAUGCAAGUCGGACGGCAGCACAGAGAAGCUUGCUUCUUGGGUGGCGAGUGGCGAACGGGUGAGUAAUAUAUCGGAACGUACCGAGUAAUGGGGGAUAACUAAUCGAAAGAUUAGCUAAUACCGCGUAUUCUCUGAGGAGGAAAGCAGGGGACCUUCGGGCCUUGCGUUAUUCGAGCGGCCGAUAUCUGAUUAGCUAGUUGGUGGGGUAAAGGCCUACCAAGGCGACGAUCAGUAGCGGGUCUGAGAGGAUGAUCCGCCACACUGGGACUGAGACACGGCCCAGACUCCUACGGGAGGCAGCAGUGGGGAAUUUUGGACAAUGGGCGCAAGCCUGAUCCAGCCAUGCCGCGUGUCUGAAGAAGGCCUUCGGGUUGUAAAGGACUUUUGUCAGGGAAGAAAAGGCUGUUGCUAAUAUCGACAGCUGAUGACGGUACCUGAAGAAUAAGCACCGGCUAACUACGUG
rnacentral:rRNA from 1 species